CACGUAGGGGACGAGCGUUGUCCGGAUUCAUUGGGCGUAAAGCGCGCGUAGGCGGCUCGGAAAGUCGGUCGUGAAAUGCCGGGGCUCAACCCCGGGACUGCGUCCGAUACUCCCGAGCUGGAGGCAGGUAGGGGAGAUCGGAAUUCCUGGUGUAGCGGUGAAAUGCGCAGAUAUCAGGAGGAACAUCGGUGGCGAAGGCGGUUCUCUGGGCCUGUACUGACGCUGAGGAACGAAAGCGUGGGGAGCGAACAGG
rnacentral:rRNA from 1 species